UGAAUCAGGUGUCCAUUUGGACUUAAUAGGGAAUUCAGUACGUAAUUUUAUUAUUAAGCUGAAACGGUCCCGCCACUGUAUGAGGGAACUUAUCCAAAUUUAUGUCACUGGGAAACUGGGAAGGCUUGGAUAUAGUAAUGAACUCGAGUCAGGAGAACUGCCUGAUUAAC
rnacentral:ncRNA from 1 species